UAGUCCACGCCGUAAACGAUGAUAACUAGCUGUUCGGGUUCACAGAACUUGAGUGGCGCAGCUAACGCAUUAAGUUAUCCGCCUGGGGAGUACGGUCGCAAGAUUAAAACUCAAAGGAAUUGACGGGGGCCUGCACAAGCGGUGGAGCAUGUGGUUUAAAUCGACAAUACGCGCGAAAUCUUACCAAUUUUUGUAUAUUUUUUACAGGUGUUGCAUGGCUGUCGUCAGUCCGUGUCGUGAGAUGUUGGGUUAAGUCCCGCAACGAGCGCAACCCUUGUCUUUAGUUGCCAUCAUUUAGUUGGGCACUCUAGAGAAACUGCCGGUGACAAACCGGAGGAAGGUAAGGAUGACGUCAAGUCAGCAUGCCCCUUACGCUCUGGGCUACACACGUGCUACAAUGGUCGUGACAAAGAGUUGCUAGUCUGCGAAGGCAAGCCAAUCUCAUAAACGCGGCCUUAGUUCGGAUUGCAGGCUGAAACUCGCCUGCAUGAAGGUGGAAUCGCU
rnacentral:rRNA from 1 species